GCAAUACUUAGUGGCAGACGGGUGAGUAACAUGUAGGUAUCUGCCCUUUGGCCUGGAAUAACACGAGGAAACUUGUGCUAAUACCGGAUAAGUCUUUACGGAGAAAGCUUUAUGCACCAUUGGAUGAGCCUGCACUUGAUUAGUUUGUUGGUGGGGUAAUGGCCUACCAAGACUGUGAUCAAUAGCUGAUUUGAGAGGAUGAUCAGCCACAUUGGGACUGAGACACGGCCCAAACUCCUACGGGAGGCAGCAGUGGGGAAUCUUGCACAAUGGAGGAAACUCUGAUGCAGCGAUGCCGCGUGAGUGAAGAAGGCCCUUGGGUUGUAAAGCUCUUUCGUCGGGGAAGAAAAUGACUGUACCCGAAUAAGAAGGUCCGGCUAACUUCGUGCCAGCAGCCGCGGUAAUACGAAGGGACCUAGCGUAGUUCGGAAUUACUGGGCUUAAAGAGUUCGUAGGUGGUUGAAAAAGUUAGUGGUGAAAUCCCAGAGCUUAACUCUGGAACUGCCAUUAAAACUUUUCAGCUAGAGUAUGAUAGAGGAAAGCAGAAUUUCUAGUGUAGAGGUGAAAUUCGUAGAUAUUAGAAAGAAUACCAAUUGCGAAGGCAGCUUUCUGGAUCAUUACUGACACUGAGGAACGAAAGCAUGGGUAGCGAAGAGGAUUAGAUACCCUCGUAGUCCAUGCCGUAAACGAUGUGUGUUAGACGUUGGAAAUUUAUUUUCAGUGUCGCAGCGAAAGCGAUAAACACACCGCCUGGGGAGUACGACCGCAAGGUUAAAACUCAAAUGAAUUGACGGGGACCCGCACAAGUAGUGGAGCAUGUGGUUUAAUUCGAAGAUACGCGCAGAACCUUACCAACACUUGACAUGUUCGUCGCGACUCUAAGAGAUUAGAGUUUUCGGUUCGGCCGGACGAAACACAGGUGCUGCAUGGCUGUCGUCAGCUCGUGUCGUGAGAUGUUGGGUUAAGUCCCGCAACGAGCGCAACCCUCACUUUUAGUUGCCAUCAUUAAGUUGGGCACUCUGAAAGAACUGCCAGUGAUAAGCUGGAGGAAGGUGGGGAUGACGUCAAGUCCUCAUGGCCCUUACGUGUUGGGCUACACACGUGCUACAAUGGUAUCUACAACAGGAAGCAAGACUGCGAAGUUAAGCAAAUCCCUAAAAGAUACCUCAGUUCGGAUUGCACUCUGCAACUCGAGUGCAUGAAGCUGGAAUUACUAGUAAUCGUGGAUCAGCGUGCCACGGUGAAUGCGUUCCCGGGUCUUGUACACACCGCCCGUCACACCAUGGGAGUUGGUUCUACCUUAAGGCAAGGUUUCAAACCCUUGACCACGGUAUAGUCAGCGACUGGGGUGAAGUCGUAACAAGGUAGCCGUAGGGGAACCUGCGGCUGGAUUACCUCCUU
rnacentral:rRNA from 1 species